UCUCCAGCUGUUUUUGAACUUCAGUUCCCAUCAUCCCUGACCACUGGUCCAGCUAGCUAGAGAUGAUGGGAGUUGCAGUCCAGAAACAGCUGGAGA